rnacentral:rRNA from 1 species
UACGUAGGGACCGAGCGUUGUCCGGAAUCAUUGGGCGUAAAGAGCGUGUAGGCGGCCAACUAAGUCGGACGUGAAAUCCCUCGGCUUAACCGGGGAACUGCAUCCGAUACUGGAAGGCUUGAGUUUGGGAGAGGGAUGCGGAAUUCCAGGUGUAGCGGUGAAAUGCGUAGAUAUCUGGAGGAACACCGGUGGCGAAGGCGGCAUCCUGGACCAACACUGACGCUGAGGAGCGAAAGCCAGGGGAGCAAACGGG